rnacentral:rRNA from 1 species
UACAGAGGUGGCAAGCGUUGUUCGGAAUUACUGGGCGUAAAGAGCGUGUAGGCGGCCACGCAGGUCCGUUGUGAAAACUGGAGGCUCAACCUUCAGACGUCGACGGAAACCGUGUGGCUAGAGUCCGGAAGAGGAGAGUGGAAUUCCUGGUGUAGCGGUGAAAUGCGCAGAUAUCAGGAAGAACACCAAUGGCGAAGGCAGCUCUCUGGGACGGUACUGACGCUGAGACGCGAAAGCGUGGGGAGCGAACAGG